GGGGUCGGAAAUGGGGACGUGGCUUCCUUCCGCGGGGGCAGCGGUGGGGUUGAGGAUGGGGCCGGGCGUCGCGCCUCUGAGGUUGGCGGUGGGGCCGAGCUGCCUCUCCCUGCCACUGGUUGUUCACCCUCCCGGCGCCUCUCUCCGGAGGUAGCCUUCUCCGGAAGUCCGGGAAAGAGAAACUUAAAGACGAAACCUGUGAAGGUCGAAACAGCUGCGUUUCCUGUUUUAAUGUUAGCCUUGUUAAUACUACCUGCUUUUGGAUAGAAUGUAAAGAUGAGAGCUAUUGUUCACAUAACUCAACAGUUAGUGAUUGUCAAGUGGGGAACACGACAGACUUCUGUUCCGUUUCCACGGCCACUCCAGUGCCAACAGCCAAUUCUACAGCUAAACCCACAGUUCAGCCCUCCCCUUCUACAACUUCCAAGACAGUUACUACAUCAGGUACAACAAAUAACACUGUGACUCCAACCUCACAACCUGUGCGAAAGUCUACCUUUGAUGCAGCCAGUUUCAUUGGAGGAAUUGUCCUGGUCUUGGGUGUGCAGGCUGUAAUUUUCUUUCUUUAUAAAUUCUGCAAAUCUAAAGAACGAAAUUACCACACUCUGUAAACAGACCCAUUGAAUUAAUAAGGACUGGUGAUUCAUUUGUGUAACUCACUGAAACCAAAAUACUAUCUUUUAAGAUGUCCCACAUGGAAGACGCUAUUCCAGGAUCUUUAAAUUUCCAUGGAUGCAUAUAGGAUGUUUGGGAGCAUCAUCCGUGAAGAAAAAAUCAA
rnacentral:sRNA from 1 species